GCUCCUUAUUGGGUCGGAUUCAUAUCCGCUUCUGCCUGCCUGGGAGGGAAAACGAAAACUGAAAAGCUUCGACAACGACGUCAAUGGCGAACUUGUCAAGCUUAGUUCACGAACUCCGUGAACGAAUCGCUGCAUCAUCUUCAACACCUCCUAACAAAUCAGACGAUUCCUCUUUAGAGCUCCGAUUUCGUACUGUUAUCCCCAAUCUCCUCCACGCCUACGUCGUUCCGUCUUCUUCAGCAAAUGAGAGGGAGGUGAUUGCUAUAUUGAAGUUACUGACUCAUACAGUCAAGAAUUUUCCAGGAGUUUUCUUUCAUGGAAAGGCCAGUGCAAUUUUACCAAUCAUUUGUCGUAUUAUACCUUUCUUUGCCGAACCCUCAUUCUGCGCUCGUCAUGGAAUAAUCUUUGAAACACUCGGAUCACUUCUAUCCUUGCUCCGUACAGGAGAUCGAGAUGCAUAUCGUCAGUUUUUUGAAGAUGUCAUGGCAGUGGUUGAAGAUGUCCUGACUAUAGCAUCAGUAUCAAAUAACACAAGCGAACCAGAGCUGGAAGUGUCUCUGAGGUGCUUCAGUGGGUCCCUAUCUGGAAUUUCCCCCGACUCUAUUGUCCUUGGUGAUAUCCCAGUAUGCAACAAUUCGGUUGAUGGUAUUGGUAUUAUGAUCAACCUCACGGGACAUACUAGGUGGCAGCCUUUUGCUACUUGGAUUAUUAGAGUUUCUUGUAAAUGCUUGACCGAAGGAGCUCUAAAUGUGGAAGGGCUAGUAAAUGUGCCAUUUGUUUUGGCUGCAUGCAAGCUACUGUGCUAUGGAGAUGCUGCUCUGCAAAUGGCUUGCUUCGACUUGGUGCGCAUCUUGGGAGCAAUAUUAAGUAGUGACAUCAUUCCUAGUGAAAACAUGAUUAUGUUGAUAUCCACCAUACUAAGCGAAGUGGAGGAUGGGCUCCCUGUGUUCAGAGACAUAAUGUACGAUGCUUCCUUGGGUGGAUGUCUUCAGUCACUAUAUUCUUGUUGUGCUGAUGAUGUUAUCAAGCUGACAGCUGGUGAUAUAGUCAGUGUCUUUUCGGAGUCAAUGCAGAAGACUAGAAGUCCUGAUCUCAAGGCUGCAUUAUGUGGUGCAUAUGUUCGAAUUGCGAAACUAUGCCCCCUUCAUAUCUGGAAGCCUGAAUUACUAUUGAAUAUUCUUUGUUCUCCAAAACCUUAUUAUGGGUUGGUUGAUUGCUUUGAAGUGGCUCUAUCUAUUCUUGAUCCUUAUCUUGUUGGAGAGACGGAUAACGGACAAGACUGUUCAUACGCGUCACUAUCAGUAACCAGUGGAUGUGAACCAGGAAGCAUUGGAGAAAAAAGACCACUUCAUCCUCCAGAUGUUCUAAAUGCUAAGCGACAAAAAUUAGACAACUCUGAAAAUUUCAAGCCCACUUCAGAAAAUUAUUCAAAAAUGGAAUAUGCUGAACAUGUGUGGUCUUCACUUCUUUCUUUUAUUGAAUACCUAGAACCGCCAGGUGGCCAAGCGAACGUGUUAGAAAAACCAGAAACUUAUUUGACAGCUCUUAGCAUGCUCUGCAUUGUUUUGUGCAAAUACCCUCGUACGAAACUGUCACAUCAAAUCUCUCGCCAGAUGCUUGGAUGGAUUCCUUGGAUUUGUGAGCAGGCAAAGCAAGAAAAACUAACUGGAGUGGAUUUACCUAUCUAUCUUGAAGCACUUAGCUGCUUACUGCUAAAACAGAGGUUUCUUUACGUGAAAGAUGAACAUUUUAGAGACGGUGGUAAUGCUGCAAAUUUAGUGCAGUUAGUGUUGAAGAUCUGUUGGGAUCAUCAUCCUUCAUGGAAAACAAAAUGUCUCUGCCUUAAGAUUAUUCCGUUGAUGGGAUGUUUUCCUCAAAGUGGGAGUGAUUUAGGUAUAUUGGACUUGGGUCUUCAGGAUGAAGCAGAAGACGUUAGAAGUGAAGCCGUCAUUGCUAUGCCGUUGAUUGCCCUUCUGUUCAGAUUUGAUACCCUGCCACAGAUUGUUAAGAGAUUAGAGUGUCUGUCAAAAGAGAAGAAUGAGAAAGUUAAGAAAUCCAUAACCAUCUCUCUCGGUUAUUUGGCAUGUCUAUGCGGAUCUUGUCAUGACACAAAAAGUUCUUUUGAAAACAACUGCAAAUUAUUCUUAAAAGAAAACAACAAACAGAGUUGGGCCUGGGAUCAGCUAUCGCGAGGAUUUUGGUGCUCAACGUGUGACAAAAAUGCCAUUCACGACCAUGAAUCGUUUUCAGUAAUACCCCAACUCCAAAAUAUGUUGGAUUGUGAUUAUUCAUGUCUUACCCGACUCUUUUUCACUCUUGUUUACGAUGAAUCUGAAGAAGUUCAGAUCUCAUGUGUGGCAAUAGUCGGGCGGAUCCUCUUCCACAUGGAUCUAAAUACUUUACAUGAAACAGAAAUCGAGUGGAUAAAAGCAUUUGAUUACCUACUGCUUCAUCGAAAAAAGUCUGUGAGAGAAGCAUUCAGUGGACAGAUUGGCUGUUUCGUUGAGCAUCAUAUACUUUCUGGUUUGUUUCUCAAUGAGCAUAUAUUUUUUGAUAAGAUUAAAAAUGGGUGUGAAGCAGCGAAUGAUCCAGAAGUAUUUGAAACUCUUCUAGAAGCAACAGCAGGUAUCAUGGUUGCAGCAGAUAUAAAUGGUCAACUCUUCUUAUCUUCUCUCCUUUUAUUGCUUGAUCAACUUGACAAUCCAUAUGUGACUGUGAGAAUGUGUGCAUCUAAAAUGAUACACAGAUCUUGCUUCUUCCAUCUUAAUGGAGGUUUGAAGCAAAUUCUUGCUAAAUCUAUUCAUAUACGCAACAAAGUAUACGGUUAUCUAUCAUUGCGGCUUGCUAAUAGACCAAAAAUGGUUGAAGAAUUUGCAGCAACUCUUCUUGAGGUUAAAGCUACAGAACUUGUUAAAAAAAUGGUUCCUGUGGUUCUUCCAAAGCUUGUGAUUGCUCAGGAGGAUGAUGAUAAAGCUGUGGUUACCUUAUUUGAGUUGGCCAAAUGGUUGAAUACAGAUAUGGUUCAACUUAUAGUCAACUGGCUACCAAAAGUUCUUGCUUAUGCUCUUUAUCAAGCAGAUGGGCACAAAUUAGACUGUGCUUUGCAGUUUUAUCGUGAUCAGACAGGCUCUGAUAAGAAAGAAAUAUUUGCAGCUGCUUUACCUGCGCUUUUGGAUGAACUCAUCUGUUCUGUGGAUGUUGAUGAUUCCGUUGAUAACAGCAUAAGGUUAUCAAGGGUGCCUCAAAUGAUUAAAGAAAUUGCAAAAAUUUUGACAGGAGAUGAGGAUCUUCCGGGAUUUUUAAAGAAUCAUUUUGUUGGUCUUCUUAACAGCAUUGACCGGAAGAUGCUUCACGCAGAUGAUAUUUCACUUCAAAUACAAGCAACUAAACGUAUAGAAAUGUUGAUCAAUAUGAUGGGUUCCCACCUCAGCACAUAUGUACCAAAACUCAUGGUUCUUCUUAUGCAUGCAAUUGAUAAAGAACCCUUGCAGAGUGACGGGCUUGCUGUCUUACAUUGUUUUAUUAAACAAUUGGUCAAAGUAUCCCCUUCUAGCACUAAACAUGUAAUAUCUCAGGUUUUUGCUGCACUUAUCCCCUUACUUGAGAAACAAAAGGAACGUUCUUCUUUGCAUAUGAUCGAAAUUGUUAAAAUUCUCGAAGAACUUGUUUUCAAGAAUAAAUCGGUUCUAAAACAUAAUAUCUAUGAAUUUCCUCCUCUGCCCAACAUUCCCGCCCUUGCAGAAGUGAACAAAGUAAUAGAUGAAGCACGUGGGGCCAUGUCUCUAAAGGAUCAGUUGCUAGAUAUUGUUGAGGGUUUGAACCAUGAAAACUUAAAUGUUAGGUAUAUGGUAGCCUGUGAGUUAAGUAAACUGCUAAAACUGAAAAGGGAUGAUGUCACAGUUAUGGUUAACGGGGAAGGAGAUUCAGAUAUAGACGUUUUGAGCUCGUUGAUUACAUCUUUACUUAGAGGUUGUGCAGAAGAAUCUAGAACUGCAGUUGGACAACGGCUAAAGUUGGUAUGUGCUGAUUGUCUAGGAUUGCUUGGAGCCGUUGAUCCUGCCAAAGUUAAAGGGUCAUCAAAUCAACGAUUCAAAAUCGCGUGUUCAGAUGACGAUUUAAUCUUCGAGUUGAUUCAUAAGCAUUUGGCUCGGGCUUUUAGAGCAGCACCCGACACCAUAAUUCAAGAUUCAGCUGCUCUAGCUAUCCAGGAGCUGUUAAAGAUUGCUGGUUGUGAGGCAUCUCUUGAUGAGAACGUUUCAACUUCUCGGAUUGCAAAAGUCAACGAGUCAACUAAGAUGGAAGGGAGGGGUCAGAGAUUAUGGGACCGGUUUUCUAAUUAUGUUAAAGAGAUAAUUGCUCCUUGUUUAACCUCGAGGUUCCAGCUUCCAAGUGUUUCCGAUUCUUCAUCUUCUGGUCCUAUUUACCGGCCUUCUUUGUCGUUCCGUAGAUGGAUCUUCAAUUGGGUCAAAAAACUUAUUGUGCAUGCAAACGGUUCAAGAGCAAGCAUUUUUAAUGCUUGUCGAGGUAUUGUACGCCAUGAUAUGCAAACCGCAACAUAUCUGCUACCAUACUUGGUAUUAGAUACUGUAUUACAUGGUACCGAGGAGGCCCGACAUGGAAUAACUGAAGAAAUUCUUUCAGUUCUUAAUGCUGCAGCUUCUGAGAAUAGUUCUGGUCAAAGUGAAGUUUGCAUUCAAGCUAUUUUUACUCUUCUCGAUAAUCUUGGACAGUGGGUCGAUGAUAUCGGACAAGAACUUGCACUAUCUCAGUCCAAUUCAAAGCAGAAAUUAAAGGAUCAUGGUGCAAAUUACUCAAUGGAUUUAGACCACUUAUCUCUGCAGUGCAAACAUGUCUCAGAGCUUUUGUAUGCGAUCCCAAAAGUGACCCUUGCUACGGCCUCAUUUAGGUGUCAGGCUUAUGCUCGGUCUUUGUUGUACUUUGAGUGUCACGUGCGUGAAAAGUCAGGAUCGUUCAAUCCAUCGGCUGAAAAGAGUGGGGUUUUUGAGGAUGAAGAUGUAUCAUUUUUAAUGGAAAUCUACAGUGGUCUGGACGAGCCAGAUGGUUUGUCGGGUUUGGCAUCUCUACGUAAAUCAAAAAGCUUGCAAGAUCAGCUUCGAAUUAAUAAAAAAGCUGGAAACUGGGCUGAAGUUUUGACAUCUUGCGAACAGGCUUUACAGAUGGAAUCGACUUCUGUUCAGAGGCAUUCAGAUGUCCUUAAUUGCUUGAUCAAUAUGUGUCAUUUACAGGCAGUGGUUACGCAUGUUGAUGGAUUAAUAUCUCGGAUUCCUCAAUACAAAAAGACAUGGUGUAUGCAAGGGGUUCAGGCAGCUUGGAGGCUUGGCAGAUGGGACUUAACUGAUGAGUAUCUUGACGGUGCUGAUGAAGAAGGUUUACUUUGUAGUAGCUCAGAGAGUAAUGCUUCAUUCGACAUGGAUGUUGCUAAGAUCCUUAGAGCAAUGAGGAUGAAAGAUCAGUUUUCUGUUGGUGAGAAAAUUGCAUUAUCAAAACAAGCUCUCAUAGCUCCUCUAGCUGCUGCUGGCAUGGAUUCAUACACACGAGCGUACCCUUAUGUUGUCAAGCUUCACGUGCUACAGGAACUUGAGGAUUUUCAUUCUAUUCUUAAUGGUGAAUCUUUCUUGGAAAAGUCAUGCGUUGGUCAACCAGACUUCUUCAAAGUAACCGAAAACUGGGACAACCGACUCAGAUUCACCCAACCGUCUCUCUGGACACGCGAACCACUUUUGGCUUUUCGGAGACUGGUUUUUGGGGCGAGUGGUCUUGGUGGUCAAGUUGGAAACUGUUGGAUACAGUAUGCAAAGCUCUGCCGUUCGGCUGGUCACUAUGAGACUGCUAACCGAGCCAUUUUAGAAGCCAUGGCAUCAGGUGCAGCUAAUGUUCACAUGGAAAAGGCUAAGCUUUUAUGGAGCACGAGACGGUCUGAUGGUGCUAUAGCGGAGUUGCAGCAAUCACUAAUAAACAUGCCUGUUGAAGUGAUCGGCUCUGCUGCAAUGUCAUCAAUUACUAGCCUUUCAUUGGUUCCUUUAAACCAACCACCUUUACCUUGCAACACUCAAACAUCAAAUGAGAAUCGUGAUGUUGCGAAAACACUUUUGCUAUAUUCGAGGUGGAUUCAUUAUACUGGACUGAAGCAGAAGGAAGACGUGAUUGGUCUUUUUGCUAGGGUGAGAGAACUGCAGCCCAGAUGGGAGAAAGGGUAUUUUUAUGCAGCUAAGUAUUGUGAUGAGGUGCUUGUUGAUGCAAGAAAACGACAAGAAGAAACUUCUGAUGUGGGUCCCAGGAUGAUGGGCUCUUCAACUUCUAAUACCUUGUCUUCUAGAGGUUCUAAUGCUGAAAAGCCUUGGUUGUACUUAGUUCCUGACGUCUUGUUAUUCUAUGCUAAGGGGCUUCAUAGAGGCCAUAAGAAUCUCUUUCAAGCCCUUCCGAGGUUGUUGACACUAUGGUUCGAGUUCGGUAGCAUUUAUCAGAGGAAAGGUUCGUCAUCCCAUAAAGAUUUGAAAGCUGCUCACGGGAAGGUGAUGGGCAUUAUGCGUGGGUGUUUGAAAGACUUGCCUACCUACCAAUGGCUGACAGUUCUACCUCAAUUGGUUUCAAGAAUCUGCCACCAAAAUGAUGAAAUUGUGCGACUGGUCAAAGCCAUAAUCACCUCUGUUCUUCAGCAAUAUACACAACAAGCUCUUUGGAUUAUGGCAGCUGUUUCAAAAUCAACAGUUCCUUCAAGACGCGAAGCGGCUGCAGAGAUUAUAAAUAAUGCACGAAAAGGGUUCAAUCAAGGAGCACCUAACACUUUGUUUAGUCAGUUUGCCAGCCUAAUUGACCAUUUAAUUAGGCUAUGCUUUCAUGCAAGUCAAUCCAGGUCAGCAACAAUCAACAUUUCUACCGAAUUUAGUGCCCUCAAAAGGAUGAUGCCAUUGGAAAUUAUUAUGCCUACUCUAGGUUCAAUUAACGUUAAUCUCCCCACUUAUGGUACAAGUACAACAGGAUUUUUCUCAGCUACCGAUCUUCCUACUAUUACGGGAAUAGCAGAUGAAGCUGAGGUUCUUUCAUCACUUCAACGGCCAAAAAAGAUUAUUCUACUAGGAAGCGAUGGUGUGAAGCGGCCAUUCUUGUGCAAACCAAAGGAUGACCUCAGGAAAGAUGCAAGAAUGAUGGAGUUCAACGCGAUGAUAAAUCGGUUAUUAUCCAAGUGCCCGGAAAGCCGUAGAAGGAAGCUUUAUUUGCGUACAUUUGCUGUGAUUCCAUUAACAGAGGAUUGUGGGAUGGUAGAAUGGGUCCCACACACCCGUGGCCUUCGACAUAUUCUUCAAGACAUAUAUAUAAGCUGUGGCAAGUUUGAUCGGCAGAAGACUAACCCUCAAAUCAAGCGUAUAUACGAUCAAUGCCAGGGUAAAAUGGCUGAAGAUGAGAUGUUGAAGAAUAAAAUUCUUCCCAUGUUCCCCCCUGCUUUCCACAAGUGGUUUUUAAACACCUUUUCCGAACCUGCAGCUUGGUUUAGGGCACGUGUUGCUUAUGCACACACUACUGCUGUUUGGUCAAUGGUUGGGCAUAUCGUUGGCCUUGGAGACCGUCAUGGAGAAAAUAUUCUUUUUGACUCAACCACAGGUGACUGUGUUCAUGUUGAUUUCAGUUGCUUAUUUGACAAAGGCUUACAACUUGAGAAGCCCGAACUCGUACCGUUCAGGUUGACGCAGAAUAUGAUUGAUGGGUUGGGGAUUACAGGGUAUGAAGGCACCUUUUUGAAGGUUUGUGAGAUUACACUUUCAGUACUAAGGGAACACAGAGAAACUUUAAUGAGCGUUCUCGAGACUUUCAUCCAUGACCCGCUUGUAGAGUGGACUAAAACCCAUAAAUCGAGCGGAGUAGAGGUCCAAAACCCUCAUGCUCAGCGAGCCAUAAGCAAUAUCGAAGCACGAUUGCAAGGUAUUGUUGUUGGUGUGGGAGCAGCACCAUCGUUGCCCCUUGCUGUAGAAGGGCAAGUUCGUCGAUUAAUUGCUGAAGCAGUUUCACAUAAAAACCUUGGGAAAAUGUAUAUCUGGUGGAUGCCUUGGUUCUAAAAUCAUUUAUCAAGCCCAGUUUAAUCAAACAUAUAGGUUCAGCAUUCACAUGAUAGAAAAAACCUGUUGUUUCGGGAUAGACAAGGUGAGAAAUGGCAUCUGAUUUGGCAGGCGUCCAUGGCGUUGAUUGAUGUGAGAAAUCGCCUAGUUUGUAUACUCAGCGCUGUACAAUUUCCUGGUUGUUUAAACUUGUAUACAAGUUACAGGUGAUGAAAGUACGACCGAAGCGACAGCUGAAUACCGCUGGCCAUAAGGCAAUUUUGCAGGUGAAAAUGUUACCACCAACUCUCUAGCCUAUGGGUUUUCUUGUACAUGUUUUGGUGUAAUGUACAUGUUUUUCUUUCAAACAUUGCAUACAAGUAGCCAAAAAUACUAAAAAUUGUCUCUCUGUUCCUUAUAACGCCAUUAUAGUCUCAUUGAUUCAAAACUUCGAUAUAUAUAACACACACAGGGGAAGUGUGUUUUCAUCCA